UAGGGAAUCUUCUACAAUGGACGCAAGUCUGAUGGAGCAACGCCGCGUGAGUGAAGAAGGUUUUCGGAUCGUAAAGCUCUGUUGUCGGUGAAGAAGGAUAGAGGCAGUAACUGGUCUUUAUUUGACGGUAAUCAACCAGAAAGUCACGGCUAACUACGUGCCAGCAGCCGCGGUAAUACGUAGGUGGCAAGCGUUGUCCGGAUUUAUUGGGCGUAAAGCGAGCGCAGGCGGAAUGAUAAGCCUGAUGUGAAAGCCCACGGCUCAACCGUGGAAGUGCAUGGGAAACUGUCAUUCUUGAGUGCAGAAGAGGGGAGUGGAAUUCCAUGUGGAGCGGUGGAAUGCGUAGAUAUGUGGAAGAACACCAGUGGCGAAGGCGGCUCUCUGGUCUGCAACUGACGCUGGGGCGCGAAAGCAUGGGGAGCAAACAGG
rnacentral:rRNA from 1 species